UCUCUAUUUUAAAAUUCAUUUCAUACUUUAAAUGUUGUUGAUUUUUCGCAAAACAAGUAAAAACCAAGUCAGCAUUAAACACCUCAGAAUAAUUUCAGUCUUGUAUUACUUGGAAAAUUCACCACAUCAUGGAGGGUCACAAAAUCCUGUUUUAAAGUCAGCGAAGGCACUGACAAUUAUGGGAUGUUUUGCUGCAGCCUAGGGCAACUAGAAAUGGCCACGGAUGUUAACGAACUCCCUCCUCAACAGUCUGAGAAAAGGGAAAAAAAAACUGAAAAGCAAGCCAUGGCUCUAGAUACCAAUACUGACAUAAGUGAAGUACAGAGGACUGAGGAAGCAAAACCUGAGAAACAGUCUUCUGCUCUCUUCCAUGAAACUGUGGUGCGUUCUCUUCACUUUGGCCAAGUGCCCAGCUAAGAGAAUUCUCCCUCAAGAUGAGCAUGUUUCAGAGCGAACCCUUAACUGUUGGUUUCAAAAAGCCCAACCUUACAUUCUGUUUGGAGCUUUGGUGAAGUAGGUUGUACCCAUGAACCCUAGAAAAACAUGAAGAUUUCUCAUAAGAACACAAGAUAAAUGUUCAAGCAAUCAUCAAAUGGAACUUGAGUUCGUCUUUGUGUCAGACGAAAAACAGCCCUUUCUGACUUACGGAUAUGGCUGAAGGGGAAUACCUGAAAAGAGUGAUUUCUCUCCACAUCUGUCUUUAAGGCUUGAUAACAUUGUACCAUAUAAGGUCAUUGACAAUGCAAAAUAUCACAAUAUAGCACAGAACUAAUCAAAGCCUAAAAUUAUCCAAAUAAGCUAUUUAGAGAGAAUCUCAACAACUUCUUUUGAAUGUGGUAUUACCAAAAAUAUGA